rnacentral:rRNA from 1 species
UACGUAGGGUGCAAGCGUUGUCCGGAUUUAUUGGGCGUAAAGAGCGUGUAGGCGGCCAUACAGGUCAGCUGUGAAAACUCGAGGCUCAACCUCGAGACGUCGGUUGAAACCGUACGGCUAGAGUCCGGAAGAGGAGAGUGGAAUUCCCGGUGUAGCGGUGAAAUGCGCAGAUAUCGGGAAGAACACCCGUGGCGAAGGCGGCUCUCUGGGACGGUACUGACGCUGAGACGCGAAAGCGUGGGGAGCGAACAGG